rnacentral:rRNA from 1 species
GACGAACGCUGGCGGCGUGCUUAACACAUGCAAGUCGAACGGAAAGGCCCUGCUUUUGUGGGGUGCUCGAGUGGCGAACGGGUGAGUAACACGUGAGUAACCUGCCCUUGACUUUGGGAUAACUUCAGGAAACUGGGGCUAAUACCGGAUAGGAGCUCCUGCUGCAUGGUGGGGGUUGGAAAGUUUCGGCGGUUGGGGAUGGACUCGCGGCUUAUCAGCUUGUUGGUGGGGUAGUGGCUUACCAAGGCUUUGACGGGUAGCCGGCCUGUGAGGGUGACCGGCCACAUUGGGACUGAGAUACGGCCCAGACUCCUACGGGAGGCAGCAGUGGGGAAUAUUGCAUAAUGGGCGGAAGCCUGAUGCAGCAGCUCCGCGUGCGGGAUGACGGCCUUCGGGUUGUAAACCGCUUUCGCCUGUGACGAAGCGUGAGUGACGGUAAUGGGUAAAGAAGCACCGGCUAACUACGUG